GAGCCCGUGGCUCAAUGGUAGAGCGUUUGACUCAGUUAUCAAAGGUCACGGGUUCGAAUCCCAGGUUUU
rnacentral:tRNA from 1 species